AUACAUAUAUUAAUUCACCAAAGUUUGACCAAUACAGUAUAUGUUUUAAGAGAAAAGCCAUCUGUUUGAUGGCUCUGGACUUCCAGUCAAGAAUCGAGUCGUAAGUGAUGUCUUUAAAGAAAGCAUGUCGAAUCGCCGCAAGAAUUCCUAUGCGAAACACCUUUCAUAAUGAAGUCAGCACUAGACCUAGGCUAUGAGCUCAGCACUCGUGGAAUAUAUUAGCGACGCGUGAACUUUAUGCAAAGCUUAAUAUCUUAUACCGUUUAAAGGCGGCUAAGUACUUCAAAGAAUUUAAUCUAUAAAUGCUUCAAUAAUAUACCUGUUCAAUUAAAUUUAUUCUU